rnacentral:rRNA from 1 species
AUUGAACGCUGGCGGCGUGCUUAACACAUGCAAGUCGAGCGGUAACAGGCGUAGCAAUACGUGCUGACGAGCGGCGAACGGGUGCGUAAUACAUGGGAAUCUGCCCUUUGGUGGGGAAUAACCCGGCGAAAGCCGGGCUAAUGCCGCAUGAGAUCUUCGGACGAAAGCGGGGGAUCGUAAGACCUCGCGCCGAUGGAUGAGCCCAUGUCGGAUUAGCUAGUUGGUGAGGUAACGGCUCACCAAGGCGACGAUCCGUAGCUGGUCUGAGAGGACGGCCAGCCACACUGGGACUGAGACACGGCCCAGACUCCUACGGGAGGCAGCAGUGGGGAAUAUUGGACAAUGGGCGAAAGCCUGAUCCAGCGACGCCGCGUGUGUGAAGAAGGCCUGCGGGUUGUAAAGCACUUUCGAUGGGAACGAAAUGUGCCGGGCUAAUACCCCGGCAAGCUGACGUUACUCAAUGAAGAAGCACCGGCUAACUCUGUGCCAGCCGCCGCCGUAAGAC